GGAUGCCCAGCGCACCUAAGCCUUGUGCGUGUGCAUGCUAGCUCCUACGCGCGUAACGGGGUGGGUCGUGCGCUGCAGGCUAGCCUGAAGCGUGCCGAGGGGGAGGCCACUGCUGCCUCCGGCAAUGUGCCACUACUCGAAUUGGGUGGGAUGCUGCCGGCACUAGUUGAGGAGAUUUUUCUCGUCAGUUUUUUCAUGACAAUAAUCUUUUUCUCUCUCUUUACCAGAUUUUUCCAGUGCAAAUCCAACCACUCUAAAUUUUUAUGAAUAGG
rnacentral:lncRNA from 1 species